GGUGCUUGAGGAGGGGCCUGCGGCCCAUCAGCUAGUUGGUAGGGUAACGGCCUACCAAGGCGAAGACGGGUAGGGGGUGUGAGAGCACGAGCCCCCACAAUGGGACUGCGACACGGCCCAUACUCCUACGGGAGGCAGCAGCAGGGAAUAUUGCACAAUGGACGGAAGUCUGAUGCAGCGACGCCGCGUGAGUGAAGACGGCCUUCGGGUUGUAAAGCUCUUUUACGGGGGACGAGGAAGGACGGUACCCUGGGAAGAAGUGUCGGCUAACUACGUGCCAGCAGCCGCGGUAAGACGUAGGACACAAGCGUUAUCCGGAGUUACUGGGCGUAAAGCGCCUGCAGGCGGCCUGGUAAGUUGGACGUGAAAGCCCCGUGCUUAACGCGGGGAGGUCGGACAAUACUGCCAAGCUAGAGUGCGUCAGAGGGGAGUGGAAUUUCCGGAGUAGCGGUAAAAUGCGCAGAUAUCGGAAGGAACACCAGUGGCGAAAGCGACUCCCUGGGGCGCGACUGACGCUAAGAGGCGAAAGCUAGGGGAGCGAACAGGAUUAGAGACCCUGGUAGUCCUAGCCCUAAACGAUGGAUGCUAGGUGUGGGACGUAAAGUUCCGUGCCGGAGCCAACGCGAUAAGCAUCCCGCCUGGGGACUACGGUCGCAAGGCUAAAACUCAAACGAAUUGACGGGGACCCGGCACAAGCAGCGGAGCGUGUGGUUCAAUUUCGAUGCUACACGAAGAACCUUACCUGGGUUUGACAUGUACGUGGUAGAGAAGCGAAAGCGGAUUGA
rnacentral:rRNA from 1 species